ACCGAGCUCGCAGUCGUUGCUGCCCCGAGGAGGUGUAGAUCGAGCCUCCUGCCGCACACACGUUCGCACGCGGCGGCCGGCGCGCUGGACCGAGAGGUUGGAGCAAUCCAUCCUCCGCGCGCACGAGCUCAGUCCCUACUGCCCCGACAGGUGUGGAACCCGCCGUCCCCGCUAUGGUCCGAGGAAGUGUACAGCACUGCUCCCUACUACACGUCCUGGGCCCGCGGUCCCCGAUGCCCCCCGGAGCUCUGUGCACCUCCACUGAAACGCAAGGAGCAGACAGAACCUACACCAUCCGUGAGGCAUCCAACCAUGAUGAGGUACCUUGUUGAACAAACUAACUCUGCCACUGAGAACGAUGAAAGCUGUUUAAAAAAAUAAAUAAGUCUGUUUAAAACAAUUGGAGAGCAACCCUGUCAUCCAAGGCUUGAGAGUCCACGAGCCCCCCAGGAAGAAGAGAAAUACUCUGAAUGUCAGUACGGGGUCUAUCACAUAGUGGAAUUAAUGAGGAAACAGACUCAAAAAGGAUUUUGGCUUGCUCAAGGUCACACAGCUUGUAUGAGGCAGUGCUGCAAUUUAAAGCCAGCUCCAGAACGUGGUUUUGGUUGCAGCUGCAGUUUCUCUUCUUUGAAUUCUGGAACAGCACCUAUAAGAUAUUAUUGAAGCAAAUGACCUUAAUGCUUGGCAGUGAAGGACCCCACACAGAAUUAAUUAAUCAGCAGGACAGACUUGCCACCAAUUAGACCUAUUUGACCAAAAUGACUUUAAAUGCAUUAAGUGGCAUCUAAAAGCAUAAAUCAAAUUGACAGAAUAACAGUCAAACACACAUCAAUUAUGACUAUAAAUGUAAAUCUUUAUACUCUCCAAAUAAAAGGCUGACUUUCAGAUUAGGUUAAAAAAUACUACUAAACUAUAAAUAUUUAUCAUAAACAAACCUUCUAUAAUCUGAGUACUUUGUGAGGCCAAGGCUGGUCUCAAACUCCUUACCUCAGGUGAUCCACCCACAUUGGCCUCCCAAAGUGCUGGGAUUGCAGGCGUGAGCCACCGUGCCCGGCCUCUCUGUUCCUUUAUUUAUCAUUCUAGAAUCACAUAGAGGCAGCUAAGUAGUUGCCCCCAGAAACAGGUAAGAACAAUUCGUUAAUUAAAUUAACUCCAAGGCCAAUCUGUGCUCUAGGCUGAAGGUGAAUCUGUUUCUCAACUCAAAUUAUACACAGCCAUCUUGUCUAAUACAAUUCCUCAAAGGUUAUUACAUGAAAUCUAAUUGACAGCAUAAAGAUACUCCAUAGUACAAAGUAAGCUAUUAAUUCAUAAAGUAUACUGAAUAUAAAUUGCCUUUCAUUAUGAUGUUUCCACAAAUAAAAAAAAUCAUUUUCCUUUUAUAAGUUAAAGUACGAACAGAUAUUAGAGAUGAAAGCCUUAAAGAAUUUUUUUAGCCUGUUUUAUUAUUGUUUUAAAAUUUACUACAGUGUACCCCUUUAUUGCCUGCACUGGGGGCAAUCCACUUCUGCCUUGCACUUAGCAUGACACUGCUUUUUAUUGACAUGUAACAUACAUUCAGAAACAGUGAUCAGAUGUAUCCAGAUCAAACAUCACCACCUAGGUCAAGAAAGAUGAUAUUACAGGUAUCCCAGAAGCCCACUCCACAACCCCUCCUAAUUGCUAACACCAUAUAUUAGUUUUGUCUCAUGUUUAUCUUCAAAUAAAUGGAAUCAAUCACACAGUA
rnacentral:lncRNA from 1 species